AUUGAACGCUGGCGGCAUGCCUUACACAUGCAAGUCGAACGGCAGCAUGGAGAGCUUGCUCUCUGAUGGCGAGUGGCGAACGGGUGAGUAAUGCAUCGGAACGUACCGUGUAAUGGGGGAUAACGUAGCGAAAGUUACGCUAAUACCGCAUACGGCCUGAGGGUGAAAGCAGGGGAUCGCAAGACCUUGCGUUAUACGAGCGGCCGAUGUCAGAUUAGCUAGUUGGUGAGGUAAAGGCUCACCAAGGCGACGAUCUGUAGCGGGUCUGAGAGGAUGAUCCGCCACACUGGGACUGAGACACGGCCCAGACUCCUACGGGGGGCAGCAGUGGGGAAUUUUGGACAAUGGGGGCAACCCUGAUCCAGCCAUGCCGCGUGAGUGAAGAAGGCCUUCGGGUUGUAAAGCUCUUUCGGCCGGGAAGAAAUCGCACAGGCUAAUACUCUGUGUGGAUGACGGUACCGGCAUAAGAAGCACCGGCUAACUACGUGCCAGCCGCCGCGGUAACAC
rnacentral:rRNA from 1 species